UACGUAGGGUCCGAGCGUUGUCCGGAAUUACUGGGCGUAAAGAGCUCGUAGGUGGUUUGUCGCGUCGGCCGUGAAAACUCGGGGCUUAACCCCGAGCCUGCUUCCGAUACGGGCAGACUAGAGGUAUGCAGGGGAGAAUGGAAUUCCUGGUGUAGCGGUGAAAUGCGCAGAUAUCAGGAGGAACACCGGUGGCGAAGGCGGUUCUCUGGGCAUUACCUGACGCUGAGGAGCGAAAGUGUGGGGGAGCGAACAGG
rnacentral:rRNA from 1 species